rnacentral:rRNA from 1 species
UUAAUGACUCUCGGCAACGGAUAUCUCGGCUCUCGCAUCGAUGAAGAACGUAGCGAAAUGCGAUACUUGGUGUGAAUUGCAGAAUCCCGUGAACCAUCGAGUUUUUGAACGCAAGUUGUGCCCGAAGCCAUCUGGUUGAGGGCACGUCUGCCUGGGCGUCACGU